GGAUGAACGCUAGCUACAGGCUUAACACAUGCAAGUCGAGGGGCAGCGGGUUGAAAGCUUGCUUUCUAUGCCGGCGACCGGCGCACGGGUGCGUAACGCGUAUCAAACCUGCCUCAUACUCGGGGAUAGCCUUGCGAAAGUAAGAUUAAUACCCGAUGUUGUUGCUUUCUCGCAUGGGAGAGUAACCAAAGAUUUAUCGGUAUGAGAUGGUGAUGCGUCCGAUUAGGUAGUAGGCGGGGUAACGGCCCACCUAGCCUUCGAUCGGUAGGGGUUCUGAGAGGAAGGUCCCCCACACUGGAACUGAGACACGGUCCAGACUCCUACGGGAGGCAGCAGUGAGGAAUAUUGGUCAAUGGGCGAGAGCCUGAACCAGCCAAGUAGCGUGCAGGAUGACGGCCCUCCGGGUUGUAAACUGCUUUUAGUUGGGAAUAAAAAAAGGGACUUGUCCCUUCUUGUAUGUACCUUCAGAAAAAGGACCGGCUAAUUCCGUGCCAGCAGCCGCGGUAAUACGGAAGGUCCAGGCGUUAUCCGGAUUUAUUGGGUUUAAAGGGAGCGUAGGCGGAUUGUUAAGUCAGCGGUUAAAGGGUGUGGCUCAACCAUGCAUUGCCGUUGAAACUGGCGAUCUUGAGUGCAGACAGGGAUGCCGGAAUUCGUGGUGUAGCGGUGAAAUGCUUAGAUAUCACGAAGAACUCCGAUCGCGAAGGCAGGUGUCCGGGCUGCAACUGACGCUGAGGCUCGAAAGUGUGGGUAUCAAACAGGAUUAGAUACCCUGGUAGUCCACACAGUAAACGAUGUAUACUCGCGGUUUGCGAUAGACAGUAAGCCGCCAAGCGAAAGCAUUAAGUAUACCACCUGGGGAGUACGCCGGCAACGGUGAAACUCAAGGAAUUGACGGGGGCCCGCACAAGCGGAGGACAUGUGGUUAAUUCGAUGAUACGCGAGGAACCUUACCGGCCUUGAACUAACGGUGACGAAUCUAGAGAUAGAUUUUUCUCGGACACGUUGGAGUGCUGCAAUGGUGUCGUCAGCUCGUGCCGUGCAGGUGUCGGCUAAA
rnacentral:rRNA from 1 species